AAAAUCUUGGGGGAAAACCUCAAAUAGAAAUAUUUCAACAGGUGGGAACAGACGAGAUAAUGGUGUAAGCAGUAAUGAGGAGCUGAACUAUGCAGAUGUUAGGUUUGCAAAGAACAAGAAAAAUGUGCAACCUCAGUGGGAAUUAGACAACCCCUCAUCAACCUACGCUGACAUCAGGGUCAACAGAAACUAAAGCACUCUUCCCUCUCUGCCCACAUGCAGCUGAAACCAAACAGACUGACUGCCUGGCUUUAACUAAAUCCUGCUAAAACUUGACAUUUCUUUAAGCAAAAGCCAACGAUGACAGAGCUGGCUGAUGCUCGUCAAAGAGAUGAGAUUGUUGGUUUGCCUUAGCAAAAUUUGUUUACUUCAUUCUGGCACGUUAGUAUUUAAUAAUUAACUAAACUCAGCUCUUACUGGCAGCAGAAAGCAGAAGGCAGAAUAUUUCCCCCUUUUCAUUUUAUGACUUUCGUAAAUCCAAAGAGCAGCAAUCUUCUCUUUAUGGCUUAAUUAUUUCCUUUAGUACGAAUCUGGUCAAUAUUAUAAUGCAAAAUGUUA